AUGUGGUUUAAUUCGAUGCAACGCGAAGAACCUUACCUGGUCUUGACAUCCACAGAACUUAGCAGAGAUGCUUUGGUGCCUUCGGGAACUGUGAGACAGGUGCUGCAUGGCUGUCGUCAGCUCGUGUUGUGAAAUGUUGGGUUAAGUCCCGCAACGAGCGCAACCCUUAUCCUUUGUUGCCAGCGGUUAGGCCGGGAACGCAAAGGAGACUGCCAGUGAUAAACUGGAGGAAGGUGGGGAUGACGUCAAGUCAUCAUGGCCCUUACGACCAGGGCUACACACGUGCUACAAUGGCAUAUACAAAGAGAAGCGACCUCGCGAGAGCAAGCGGACCUCAUAAAGUAUGUCGUAGUCCGGAUUGGAGUCUGCAACUCGACUCCAUGAAGUCGGAAUCGCUAGUAAUCGUAGAUCAGAAUGCUACGGUGAAUACGUUCCCGGGCCUUGUACACACCGCCCGUCACACCAUGGGAGUGGGUUGCAAAAGAAGUAGGUAGCUUAACCUUCGGGAGGGCGCUUACCACUUUGUGAUUCAUGACUGGGGUGAAGUCGUAACAAGGUAACCGUAGGGGAACCUGCGGUUGGAUCACCUCCUUA
rnacentral:rRNA from 1 species